rnacentral:piRNA from 1 species
UGGGCAUUUGGUGAGUUGAAGGUUUUACGGC